rnacentral:rRNA from 1 species
UACAGAGGAUGCAAGCGUUAUCCGGAAUGAUUGGGCGUAAAGCGUCUGUAGGUGGCUUUUUAAGUCCGCCGUCAAAUCCCAGGGCUCAACUCUGGACAGGCGGUGGAAACUACCAAGCUGGAGUACGGUAGGGGCAGAGGGAAUUCCUGGUGUAGCGGUGGAAUGCGCAGAUAUCAGGAGGAACACCGGUGGCGAAGGCGGGUCUCUGGGCAGUAACUGACGCUGAGGAGCGAAAGCGUGGGGAGCGAACAGG